GACGUCUUGAGGUUUAAAUAGGCUUCGGAGCCAUCUCUGUGUUUAAAGUGCGCUCCGACUUCCGGUUUUUUAGGCGUAGCUAAAUGCUUCAAAUUGCGCAAAAUAACGAUUCUAAAAUUAAAUCUUCUCAGCGGUUAUAUUUCCGUACCGUGUCUUAAUCUAACCAGGGUGUUGUGUUCGCUUCGAGUUGGAUAAUUUCUUUAAAAAAAAAAUUCCCAAUACGGCCGGUGUGAUAAGCUAGAACUUGGGGAGGAACACGACGUGCUCAGACUAAGGAACUAUACUGGCACGGGUCGGCCUACGGAACGGCGACCCGGAAAGAGUUCCCUCGGACUCAGUGUGAGAGGACUCUUGGGGAGAUUGGAACCAGGUAAGUAGGCUUAUUUAUUAUUUUUUUAUGUUUUUUUGUGUUCUCAGGUAAGUAGGAUCUUAAUUAGUAUCAUGUACUUUUUUAUUUUCAGGAAAAUGGGGCUCGAUUUGUGUUAGGUGCUUUUUAAGUAAUUGUGGAAUUAUGUAUUAUAUGCUAUAUUAUCAAGUGUAUUUUGAGGAAUUUUUAUUUCAGGUCAAUAGGGAUUAAUUUGUAUUAUGUGUUUUUUA
ensembl:lncRNA